rnacentral:rRNA from 1 species
UACGUAGGGGCCGAGCGUUGUCCGGAGUUAUUGGGCGUAAAGCGCGCGCAGGCGGCCUCGCGCGCCCGACGUGAAAGCCCCCGGCUUAACCGGGGAGGGUCGUUGGGGACGGCGGGGCUUGAGGGCGGGAGAGGUCGGUGGAAUUCCCGGUGUAGUGGUGAAAUGCGUAGAGAUCGGGAGGAACACCUGUGGCGAAGGCGGCCGACUGGGCCGACCCUGACGCUGAGGCCCGAAGGCGUGGGGAGCGAACGGG